rnacentral:lncRNA from 1 species
AUGGCGAACGUGGUGCGUGCCACCCUGCAGACAGCCGGGAAGGGGGUGACCCCGCAGCCCUGGGCCAGCGGCCGUUCACUCACAAGGGUACGGAGGAGAGCAGCGCGUUUCCAAGGCCUUCUUUCUUUCUCAGUUGCUUUAAGUGUUGAUUAUUUGUGCUGGGUCUCUAGAGAAGCUUCUGUUUGUUACAAUACUGCUGCUUUGAGCAAUUUUGUUUUUCUUCAUUGUCCUUUAGGGAGAUCACCAGCUUUGGCAUCUUAACAACAAACAGUGGAUGGGAAAUUUUAUUUCUAAUAACGCAUCUUUAGUCAAAUACACCUUUUUCCUGUCACUCCUCAUGUACAACCAAAGAACAUACAUAAUGGGAAUUGUUUAAUAAUAUCUGGAAACAACAUUUCCUCUGAGAGGUGACUUUUGUACAAAAUGCAAAAAAAAAAAAAACUAAAAAAACUNNNNNNNNNNNNNUUCUUUUGUGAUUAUGGCUAUACACUGAGUAGUUAUUACAGGAACCUGCUGAUAAAUGCUAGUAUGACCAUCGCAUUCAGAUGUUUGUUGUUAUGAUGCGAAUGGAUAUUGGUUUAAAUAGAAACUGGGUUCUCAACUGCAUUUUCUGAAUUCUGUUCUAAUACUUGUGUUAAAAGUAGGCAUAGUUCAAACUCAUGCAAAGUCCUGGAGUUUGCGAUCUGCAGCUUUGUAGUUUGGGAAACAAAGAAACCAAAGCUGAGUAUUUAAAAGAAUGACUCUACGUGAAAGUCUAUGCUCUCAAAAAAAGACACUCAUCAAAAGUGUAGUUUUUCUCAGUAUUCUGAUUUUUUAAAAAUUUUAUCUUGCAUAUUUGCAUCAAAUACUUCUUUAUGUGCAAAUGUAUGUUUUACCUCCUUAAAAAUGCCUAAAAAUUAGUUAAUAGCUACUUUUGUUUAAUCUAUACAUGAUGAUUAAGUGCAUUUAAUAUUGGUAAUUUAAUGAAAAGCAUUCCUUGCCCAAUGGAUGUACACAUUUUUGAAAGAAUAAGCAGAAUUAUAUAAUACGAAAUGCUAUGUAAAGUUUUCUAUGUAAAAAUAUUAUGUAUAAUACUGUUAAAAUAAAUAUCCCAUGCUUUAAUCAAGUGGUAAAUCAAUAAAGUUUUAAAAAGUAAAACUGCUUUUAAUGUAGUAAUUAAUGUAUAUAAAGCCAUUAUGCAUAUCAGACUUGAUCAUGUGUGAGGCUUCCCUGGUAGCUCAACUGGUAAAGAAUCUGCCUGCGAUGCGGGAGACCUGGGUUGGAUCCCUAAGUUGAGAAGAUCCUCCUGGAGGAGGGCAUGGCAACCCCACUCCAGUAUUCCUGCC